AAACUCUUGAAUCAAAGCUUAUGCAGUUGCAGCAAUGAACAUGUGAAGUGACAAUUGAUCAAGAAAUUGAAUUAUUUGUUGCAUAAGAGGUUAAUAUUUGAAUCAAAGAUCUGUUGUUUUCUACCAUAAAUUUGAAAUCGCAGCCUUGCACCAACGAAAUCGCAACUCCGUGCUGACGAAUGGCUCGGCGGCGGACGAGAUCCGACAUGGGAUAUGCGGCAGAAAAUGGACAUGGUGGCGGGAGAGAUUCCGAAAGUGAAUGCACGAAGGAAAGGGACAAGCUGGUGGGGUAUCUCGUGACGGCCACGGUGAUGGUUAUGGCUUCUUCCUGGGCUUGCGAUAAAAGGUUGAAGGAGAAGGUGAGUGGCACAAUGGUAAUAUAAAUUAUAUGGUGAGGGAAAUUUUGAAUGUUUAUUCUCCAUGGGUUGAUUUGAUUAUGCUAGGAAGCAACCCAAAAUCUGAGAGCUGCGGGUGUUUUGUGAUGAUUUUGGUUCGAUUUCAAUGUUUGGUUUUUUCUGGAUUUUUGAUGAAUGUCAUCCAUGAAGAUGAAGAUGAAAAUGUGAGGAAGAUGAUGAAGGUAGAAAUUGAAAAAGAUCAAAGGGUCCACUUUCUUUAAAAAAAUCAAAUGGUUAAGAUUAACAAAAUUCUAAGGUUCUACGAUGAACCAUUUUUAAAGUUGGUCCACUAUAAACAUUUAGAGUUAAAGUUAACAUACAGGAUUUAUUUGGCAAACGGAAGAAAAAGUGAGGGACCAAAAUAUAUAUUUUAUUAAUUAUGGGACCAAAAUGAAAACUUAAAAUUAUUUGAGAGAACAUUAGAUCAAAUAAGCCAAGAAUUAAUUAUAAUUUUGUCCCUUAAUCCGUUCACAAAAUUCAACCCUCAAUUUUAAAAUCACUAAGUUUUAGUCCUUUCUUUGAUUUGUGGACUAAGACAUCGUGUUUCAAUUGACGUGGAAUAUAUAAAAGAG
rnacentral:lncRNA from 1 species